CGUUUGACGUUAGCGACAGAAGAAAGCACCGGCUAACUCCGUGCCAGCAGCCGCGGUAAUACGGAGGGUGCGAGCGUUAAUCGGAAUUACUGGGCGUAAAGCGCAUGCAGGUGGUUUGUUAAGUCAGAUGUGAAAGACCCGGGGCGUCAACCUCGGAAUAGCAUUUGAAACUGGCAGACUAGAGUACUGUAGAGGGGGGUAGGAAUUUCAGGUGUAGCGGUGAAAUGCGUAGAGAUCUGAAGGAAUACCGGUGGCGAAGGCGGCCCCCUCGGACAGAUACUGACACUCAGAUGCGAAAGCGUGGGGAGCAAACAGGAUUAGAUACCCUGGUAG
rnacentral:rRNA from 1 species